AGGUUCAAGUGCGUAGGCUUAAGAGUUAGGUAAAUCCGGCUCUUUCUAAGGCUGAGACACGACGUCGAGCUACUACGGUAGUGAAGUCAUUGAUGCCAUGCUUCCAGGAAAAGCCUCUAAGCUUCAGAUUGUAAGGAAUCGUACCCCAAACCGACACAGGUGGUCGGGUAGAGAAUACCAAGGCGCUUGAGAGAACUCGGGUGAAGGAACUAGGCAAAAUGGUACCGUAACUUCGGGAGAAGGUACGCUCUUGAUGGUGAAGUCCCUUGCGGAUGGAGCUGACGAGAGUCGCAGAUACCAGGUGGCUGCAACUGUUUAUUAAAAACAC
rnacentral:rRNA from 1 species